GAGACCGGGGCGCUUCACGAAACAGAUGACAUCACGAUAUAUUGAAGCAACACACGAAGACAUGAGUCAGGAAGUUAAGGCUCGGACCGAGUUUAAAUGUGUUUGGCUAAGACGCAGCACAUGGAGACGAUGGCGAAGGAUCCCAGGAUUCCUGCUGUGCCGACGAUCCAGGUGAGACGCAGGAAGAGGAUGACACCCAGGAUGUUCUGCAUGCAGGGCAGGUACACUCCGAUGAAGGUUCCCAUCUGGGGGACCUGGAGAUGGGUAAACACGCAUAGAUUUGCACACAAGUGAGAAUCAGUGAUAAUAAGCAGGGGAGGGAAAG